CCUACGGGUGGCAGCAGUGGGGAAUAUUGCACAAUGGGGGCAACCCUGAUGCAGCAACGCCGCGUGAGUGAAGAAGGAUUUCGGGAUGUAAAGCUCUAUCAGCAGGGAAGAAAAUGACAGUACCUGACUAAGAAGCACCGGCUAACUACGUGCCAGCAGCCGCGGUAAUACGGAGGGUGCGAGCGUUAAUCGGAAUUACUGGGCGUAAAGCGCUCGUAGGCGGUCUGUCAAGUCACGGGUGAAAUCCCCGCGGUCAACGUGGGAACUGCCUUUGAAACUGGCAAACUGGAGUGUGUGAGAGGAUAGUAGAAGUCCAGGUGUAGGAGUGAAAUGCGUAGAGAUCUGGAGGAACAUCAGUGGCGAGGGCGACUACCUGGCACAUAACUGACGCUGAGGAGCGAAAGCGUGGGUAGCAAACAGGAUUAGAUACCCGGGUAGUC
rnacentral:rRNA from 1 species